ACUGCUCAGUAACACGUGGACAACCUGCCCUUAGGUUGGGUAUAAACCCGGGAAGCUGGGUAUAAUACCCGAUAGGUCUCGAUUGCUGGAAUGCAUCGAGAUUUAAAGCUCCGGCGCCUAAGGAUGGGUCUGCGGCCUAUCAGGUAGUAGUGGGUGUAGCGUACCUACUAGCCUACGACGGGUACGGGUUGUGAGAGCAAGAGCCCGGAGAUGGAUUCUGAGACACGAAUCCAGGCCCUACGGGGUGCAGCAGGCGCGAAAACUUUACAAUGCUGGCAACAGCGAUAAGGGAACCUCGAGUGCCAGGUUACAAAUCUGGCUGUCGAGAUGCCUAAAAAGCAUUUCAUAGCAAGGGCCGGGCAAGACCGGUGCCAGCCACCGCGGUAACACCGGCGGCUCGAGUGGUAACCGUUAUUAUUGGGUCUAAAGGGUCUGUAGCCGGCCGGAUAAGUCUCUUGAGAAAUCUGGCAGCUUAACUGUCAGGCUUUCAGGAGAUACUGUCUGGCUCGAGGCCGGGAGAGGUGAGAGGUACUUCAGGGGUAGGGGUGAAAUCUUGUAAUCCUUGAAGGACCACCAGUGGCGAAGGCGUCUCACCAGAACGGACCUGACGGCAAGGGACGAAAGCUAGGGGCACGAACCGGAUUAGAUACCCGGGUAGUCCUAGCCGUAAACGAUACUCGCUAGGUGUCGGCCACGGUGCGACCGUUGUCGGUGCCGUAGGGAAGCCGUGAAGCGAGCCACCUGGGAAGUACGGCCGCAAGGCUGAAACUUAAAGGAAUUGGCGGGGGAGCACCACAACGGGUGGAGCUUGCGGUUUAAUUGGAUUCAACGCCGGAAAUCUUACCGGGACCGACAGCAAUAUGAAGGCCAGGCUGAAGACUUUGCCGGAUUAGCUGAGAGGUGGUGCAUGGCCGUCGUCAGUUCGUACUGUGAAGCAUCCUGUUAAGUCAGGCAACGAGCGAGACCCCUGCC
rnacentral:rRNA from 1 species